GUGCUCGCUUCGGCAGCACAUAUACUAAAAUUGGAAUGAUACAGAGAAGAUUAGCAUGGCCCCUGCUCAAGGAUGACACACAAAUUCAUGAAGCAUUCCAUAUUUUU
rnacentral:snRNA from 1 species